rnacentral:rRNA from 1 species
GACGAACGCUGACGGCGUGCUUAACACAUGCAAGUCGAACGGACAGACAGAGAGCUUGCUCUCUUGAAGUUAGUGGCGAACGGGUGAGUAACGCGUAAUCAACCUGCCCUUCAGAGGGGGAUAACAACGGGAAACCGUUGCUAAUACCGCGUACGAUUCAUAAGCGGCAUCGCUUGUGAAUGAAAGGUGGCCUCUAUUUAUAAGCUAUCGCUGAAGGAGGGGAUUGCGUCUGAUUAGCUAGUUGGAGGGGUAACGGCCCACCAAGGCAAUGAUCAGUAGCCGGUCUGAGAGGAUGAACGGCCACAUUGGGACUGAGACACGGCCCAA